rnacentral:lncRNA from 1 species
CUCUAGAGGGUAAAAAAGUCAGUACUCUGCUUGGCCAGCCUUCUAGUGCUAUAUUAUCCUGGAUCUGCUCUUUGGACUGGUUGGCUGUGCAGCGACUCAGAGCUGCAGUGCCAGAGAGCAGAGAGGUCAGUGGUGCCAGGAGCAAGCACCUUGGACAGAGGUUGACACUUUCAGCAGUGCUAUUAGGGGAGCAAUGCUGCUAAAGCACAUGGUUCUGCACCUGUCUGGAUGAACUGCAGCUUCAGGAUGAAGCCUCUUAGUGCACCCACAAACUGACAUACCCCCCUUCACCAACGCUGUGAUGCCUACAGAUGUAAGAAACGUGAAAACAUGAACCAAGCUAAAAAGCUAUGGCCCAUAAAGAAAAUCAUCUGCAGUAGCAUAAAAGGAGCUCCUAUUCUGAGACUUCAGUGCUGCAUAAGGAAAUGUUGCCCAUACUACUGGAAGCUGGCUCCAAUUACUAGCCUUUAAUUGAGAAGCAUGAAGAUGCUGAGA